ACAAUUUUAAUUAAAGAGAAGUCAGAGAGGUAAUUAGAGCAGACAGAGGGAAUGGACCAGAGCCACAUUAAUCACAAAAUGGUAGUUUCACAAGCCCCAGGGGCCUCUAGUGUUGUCCUGAAUCCAGUAUAGCUCCAGUCCCAGGCUCACCAAGACCCAGAAGCACUUUGUUUUCUGUUCCUGGUUUUCCCUGAGAUUUGCCUUCAUGUGAAUCUCUACGUAAACUCUCUUGAUCUGAACUCUCUGCUCCUUAUUACCAAGCUCCACAUCAAAACCACUAUGUAGUUAGUAGUGGAACCACAUUUAUCUGACUCAAAGUCCAUGGACUUUCACAGCCUUCCAUCUGGACCAAGGAGAACAGUGCGUCUAGCCUGAUAUUUUGUGAUUAUAGUCCCAGGUGCAUUUGAAAGUGGAAAGGGGCCAAGGUGGAUGGGAUGUGCAGCCAAGUUUAACAAAUGCUAAGUGGACACAGCACAUUAUCGGUAACACAAGUAUCUUAACACAGGAGAAACACUAAAGGUGAAGAGAGUUUCCUUGAAGUGAGGGUCCCUUUACCCUGGGCUCAGACUGGAGGAGCUCUGCUCAAGGAGUACUUGUGGGUCAUCUCAAGUCUUGGAGAAAG
rnacentral:lncRNA from 1 species